rnacentral:rRNA from 1 species
GUUAUCCCUGACGGUACCGUAAGAGAAAGCCACGGCUAACUACGUGCCAGCAGCCGCGGUAAUACGUAGGUGGCAAGCGUUGUCCGGAAUUAUUGGGCGUAAAGGGCGCGCAGGCGGCAUCGCAAGUCGGUCUUAAAAGUGCGGGGCUUAACCCCGUGAGGGGACCGAAACUGUGAAGCUCGAGUGUCGGAGAGGAAAGCGGAAUUCCUAGUGUAGCGGUGAAAUGCGUAGAUAUUAGGAGGAACACCAGUGGCGAAAGCGGCUUUCUGGACGACAACUGACGCUGAGGCGCGAAAGCCAGGGGAGCAAACGGGAUUAGAUACCCCGGUAGUCCUGGCCGUAAACGAUGGAUACUAGGUGUAGGAGGUAUCGACUCCUUCUGUGCCGGAGUUAACGCAAUAAGUAUCCCGCCUAGGGAGUACGGCCGCAAGGCUGAAACUCAAAGGAAUUGACGGGGGCCCGCACAAGCGGUGGAGUAUGUGGUUUAAUUCGACGCAACGCGAAGAACCUUACCAAGCCUUGACAUUGAUUGCUACGGAAAGAGAUUUCCGGUUCUUCUUCGGAAGACAAGAAAACAGGUGGUGCACG